GACAGAGGGUGCAACCGUUGUUCGGAAUUACUGGGCGUAAAGCGCGUGUAGGCUGCCCUGCAAGUCGGAUGUGAAAGCCCUGGGCUCAACCUAGGAAGUGCAUUCGAAACUGCGGGGCUGGAGUCCUGGAGAGGAAGGCGGAAUUCUCGGUGUAGAGGUGAAAUUCGUAGAUAUCGAGAGGAACACCGGUGGCGAAGGCGGCCUUCUGGACAGUGACUGACGCUGAGACGCGAAAGCGUGGGGAGCAAACAGG
rnacentral:rRNA from 1 species